CUCCUCUCCUCCAGUGGGUCAUGCCAAGAACCAGGCUGUGUCUCAGAGCUCAGGAAAGUACCUCUGCUUUCAGGACGCUGAUGAUGUGAUGAUGCCUCAGCGAAUACAUCUCCAAUACGAGGCCUGCCUCUUCAACUCUACCUCUUUGAUUGGCUGUCAGGUCCGCAGGGAUCCAGAGGGAUCUACUGAGCGCUACACACGCUGGAUCAACAACAUCAGCCAGGAUCAACUCAGCACCCAGGUGUACACCUCUCACGGCCCUACGGUCAUCAUGCCAACCUGGUUCUGCUCCAGGGAUUGGUUCCAGCGGGUCGGAACCUUUGACGAGGGCGGCAAGGGAGUUCCAGAGGAUCUGUUGUGGUUCUAUCAGAGUGUUGGUCAGGGAGGAGGUGUGGUCAGAGUGGACCAGUGUUUACUAGUCUACCGCUACCAUCAACAAGCUGCUACACACUCUGUCCUGGAGGAAACCAUUUGGAACCUCCGUGUGGCCUUCCUCCAGGAGAGAGUUAUCAACCAAUGGGAAUCCUUCACCAUAUGGAAUGCUGGGAAACAGGGCCGGAAACUAUACCGCUGCCUCAGUUCCUUCAAUCAGAAGAAGGUUCGAGCGUUCUGCGACGUGGACGAGAAUAAGAUCAAGAAAGGCUUCUACACCUAUGAGGAGUCCAAGGAGAGGCCCAAGCCUCAGAUCCCUGUACUGCACUACAGAGAUGUGUCUCCACCCUACAUCAUCUGUGUCAAGCUGGACAUGACCGGAGGAGUGUUUGAAGAAAACCUGAAGUCUCUCCAUCUGGAAGAAGGAGUUGACUAUUACCACUUCAACUAACACUCUGAGAGAUGGAGAGAUGGAGAGGAGAGGAGUUGACUACUACCACUUCAACUAACACUCUGGGAUAUGGAGAGAUGGAGAGGAGAGGAGUUGACUACUACCACUUCAACUAACACUCUGAGAGAUGGAGAGAUGGAGAGGAGAGGAGUUGACUACUACCACUUCAACUAACACUCUGAGAGAUGGAGAGAUGGAGAGGAGAGGAGUUGACUACUACCACUUCAACUAACACUCUGGGA